rnacentral:rRNA from 1 species
ACGUGAGCAAUCUGCCCCUGACUCUGGGAUAAGCGCUGGAAACGGCGUCUAAUACCGGAUACGAGCUGCGAAGGCAUCUUCAGCAGCUGGAAAGAACUUCGGUCAGGGAUGAGCUCGCGGCCUAUCAGCUAGUUGGUGAGGUAAUGGCUCACCAAGGCGUCGACGGGUAGCCGGCCUGAGAGGGUGACCGGCCACACUGGGACUGAGACACGGCCCAGACUCCUACGGGAGGCAGCAGUGGGGAAUAUUGCACAAUGGGCGCAAGCCUGAUGCAGCAACGCCGCGUGAGGGACGACGGCC